rnacentral:lncRNA from 1 species
CUUCUUCUGAUCCCCUCAGCCCCAUUUUGAGCAGUCUGUGGCUGUGGCUUCUGUAUUCCAGGAGGGAAUGGUGUUGGUCAGGUUUGUGUCACUAUGACAAAAUGUCUGAACUUAUCAGCUUCUAAGCUGGAAAAGCUCAUGGUUUCAGAGGUUUCAGUUCAUAGUCACUUGGCGUUGCCACUUUUGGGUCUGUGGUGGCACAGGCAGGAGCACGUGGUGGAGGAGGGCUGUUCGCUUCCUGGUGACCAGGAAGCACUGAGAGACAGGAAGGAGCUGGAGUCCCGGCAUCACCUGCAAGGACACACCCAACGUCCUGCCUUCCUCCCAGUAGGCCCUACCUUCCACCUUCCACAGGCUCCACUACUUCCCAGUAACGCCACUUGCUGGGUUCCAAGCCUUCCACAAUGGGCCUCUGGGGACAUUCGGGAUCCCAAACCUAGCACGGGGCUCGAGCAGCAAAGGCCCAUGAGGAUGCCACUCUUGGUCUUUCGGGGAUAUUCUAGUUACAAAGAGCACAGUGACACUGUGGAACCCUGACUAUUAUUAUUUUCUUUCUCUCUCGUUCACUCGAGCCGGGUUCCUUUGGCCUCUUGAAGCAGUGAACCAAGCAGUUGGCCCACCCUUUGACCUUUUCAGAUGGGGUGCAUUGGUGGCCCUGAUGGUGCUACCUAUAGUGUCCACGCAUGAGCAAUAAGGAGUCACCCUCCUUCCUUCCUCUUCCAGUCCCCAACAAGGAGAAACAAGCCCACCUGGGCUCAGCAACCCUUUUGCUGCCCUGCAGCACCCCACUCCCUCCCCGCAUAACGGCCUGGUCACCCCUAACUCGUUACUCCAGACCCAGGAGGUAAACGCUUCUGAGAUGCUUCCUGUUUCCUCUUCUUCCUGUUCAUUAACGUGAAGUACCCGUUUCUGAGAAGUGCCCGGCUAUUUAUUUCAGAACAGCCUGACAAGACUCCAAGCUCAUAAACGUGGAGAGCCACGGCCAUCGACCUAGAGCUCAUAGAAGUAGAUUUCUUCACACAAUGGGAUGCAACAUGGAAGUCCUGUCAGCUCCCAACACGUAUGCAAACCUGAGCUAAUUGCUCCCAGAAGCACGUUGACGCUGGAUUCAAAGCUGAUUUUUACCUCCCAGAGUGUUUGGGUGACCUGGCUGGGGGAAAGAGGGUUGUGGAUAAACUUUUUGCUCUUGGAGACCCAUCUUUAAAACCACACUGGCCUUCUA